rnacentral:misc_RNA from 1 species
AAGUCGUAACAAGGUUUCCUUCCGGUUAAAGAGAUUCAACUACCGAAGCCUCACACAGCGACUCUAAAUCAACUGUGGAGUCUUACCAUAGGUAAAGACAAUACCGCUGAAAUGCUGUGAUCACGAAAGUGUACCAGCAGCCUAAUCCAGGCCCACAGAUCAAGUGGCGGUGGUCUUAGCUACACAGCUUUAGACUAUAAUAUGACCGGUUCUUAUCCUAAUAGUUAAGAGCUUUACGAUCCGUACGUGAACCUGCGGAAGGAUCAUUAAAAGGUCAAUAUCCCUAUUUCAAAAGACCCAUUUUAAAUAUUUAUCUUUCCUGUGCCGGCUUUAGACGCCACCACCCUAACAUUCCCUUGCGGAAGUCCUCGAUAAUGGGGUGUAGGUGUCUGGGGCCCGGUUAGGAAGCCAGAGUUCAAGAAUUUGGGGGGGGUCGGGGUGUCCUUUCAUCCUUUGUUUAACUACUAUGUUGCUUUAGGCGGGCCCGUCUUUAACCAGACCGCCGGAGGUCAAAGCCUCUGGCCAGCGCCCGUUAGUAGCCCACAACAAAUUCUUUCAACCAUGUAUCUUCUGAAAAUAGUUAAUAAACUAAA